rnacentral:rRNA from 1 species
UCUUUCUUUGCUGGCGACCGGCGCACGGGUGAGUAACGCGUAUCCAACCUGCCCUUUACUCGGGGAUAGCCUUUCGAAAGAAAGAUUAAUACCCGAUAGCAUAAUGAUUCCGCAUGGUUUCAUUAUUAAAGGAUUCCGGUAAAGGAUGGGGAUGCGUUCCAUUAGGUUGUUGGUGAGGUAACGGCCCACCAAGCCUUCGAUGGAUAGGGGUUCUGAGAGGAAGGUCCCCCACAUUGGAACUGAGACACGGUCCAA